AGUGAACGCUGGCGGUAGGCCUAACACAUGCAAGUAGAACGGCAGCACAGUAAGAGCUUGCUCUUACGGGUGGCGAGUGGCGGACGGGUGAGGAAUACAUCGGAAUCUACUUUUUCGUGGGGGAUAACGUAGGGAAACUUACGCUAAUACCGCAUACGACCUACGGGUGAAAGCAGUGGAUCUUCGGACCUUGCGCGAUUGAAUGAGCCGAUGUCGGAUUAGCUAGUUGGCGGGGUAAGGGCCCACCAAGGCGACGAUCCGUAGCUGGUCUGAGAGGAUGAUCAGCCACACUGGAACUGAGACACGGUCCAGACUCCUACGGGAGGCAGCAGUAGGGAAUAUUGGACAAUGGGCGCAAGCCUGAUCCAGCCAUACCGCGUGGGUGAAGAAGGCCUUCGGGUUGUAAAGCCCUUUUGUUGGGAAAGAAAAGCAGCAGGUUAAUACCCCGCUGUUCUGACGGUACCCAAAGAAUAAGCACCGGCUAACUUCGUG
rnacentral:rRNA from 1 species